UCUCCAAAAACCACUAUUUUUAUGGUAUAGUGGAAUUAGAUGUAGGCGCUUUUUUACUACGAACUAAAAUUUCAGAAAGGGGCAUUCGAAGAUGAAACAAACAGAAAGCGAAAAGCCGCUGGUUAUCAAAAUUGUUAUCAGUGUUUUAGUUGGUCUAUUUUUACUUAACCUUAUGCCGAUCUUAGCUAUUUUUGGUUAACCGCAUGCUUGCCAAAAUUUAGAUUCUAUGCUAAUUUAAAAAAGAAAAUUAAAUGGCUUUUUAUGGUGAGACAGUCACGGGAACCGGAAGUUCCCUUGAUGCUUUUUUAGAAAAAAGACUCCGUUGAUUCAGAAGGAUCUUCGGGGUAUUUUUUUGC
rnacentral:sRNA from 1 species